AUGCAUAUGGUCACCCAUACUCAAUCUGGACCCGACCUGACCUAUUCUCGAUCCAUACCCGGUCUUAAGCGGGUAUUAUAUGGGUAGUCACUAUCCAAAACAGCUCAAAUAAACCUAAUGGGUACAUUAUUAACUCAAGUAUCCAGACAUGUACAUGAUUCGAAUUUAAAUAGGUAGGGUAUAUUUUUUUUGGUAUCCAUUUCUUUUUAGGGUAUGAGUCCCGGUCAACGGAAAUCUUUACUAAAACUAAAUUUUGUAUUCUACAUUUCUAAAAUAUUAUUAUAAAAUUUAAAUUAUGUAAUUUUUUUUAUCUAUAACUUCUUUUAUGAUUUAUAUUGUAUAUAUUAAAUAUAAAUUUUAAUUUUAUAAUAUUGAUUAGUUAAAAAUAUAUUAUACAGUAAAAGAUCAGAGAG
rnacentral:lncRNA from 1 species